UGUGUUCACCCUGUUGCCGCCAUAACGAGUUUGUUGUUGUUGAAAAACAAUAAGAGAAAAUAAAAUGUACAAAGGUUUAGCUGGAGAUGAUUCGAAACGCCAGGUCUCUUAGCAGAGAUGUUCACUGGGAAACAGUUCCAUUGUUUUGUUCUGGUCGUGGCAGAGAAGUUGACAUCUGGUAGAUAGUUCCUAAGUUUCAUGUUGUGUAGAGGCGAUGCAUGGCAGUGUAGCCGAAAAGAUAGAAAAGAUAGUUCUGGUUGUUUGGUCCAUGCUUGAGUAGAGAUCAGAUCUGAUGUAGAUGGUGUGUAUGAAAUUGUGUUUGUCAAGAGACCCGCAGAAUGAGAUACGGCAGAAUAUCAUGUUGGGGAAACAGUAAAGCAAGAUAAAAACAAAGAUGUGUGUGCCAGUUGAUGAUAAUACAGCUGAGUCUGUGUACAGGCAAAUUGCAUUCAGAAAACCUCGCCUACUGGGCUUAGACAGCUAGAAGCAGAUAUAAUGUGUUACAAAUAGUACAUUUUAUGGAGGUAUAAUUGUGAAGCAGGGAUGAAAUGUCAAGAAAUGUCCUUUACAGACAAAAAUGACAGGGAGGCAAAAUAAGUAUGCAACAAUUUAGAAAAUCUGAAAUGGUGAAGAGCUGAGACAGACAAGAGUUCCAUCAAAGAACUGAGGUAGAUAGAAUUUAAGCAAAGCUGAAGCAGGCAGGGUUUCAGCCAAGAGCUUAGUUAGAUUUUUAACAGAG